AGCCCGGUGGUGUAGCGGUCAAGCAUGAGGGCCUCUGGAGCCCUUGACGAGAGUUCGAAUCUCUCCCGGGCUACCA
rnacentral:tRNA from 1 species